AACGAACGCUGGCGGCAUGCCUAACACAUGCAAGUCGAACGAGAACUUCGGGUCUAGUGGCGCCCGGGUGCGUAACGCGUGGGAACCUGCCCUUAGGUUCGGAAUAACUCCCCGAAAGGGGUGCUAAUACCGGAUAAUGUCUCCGGACCAAAGAUUUAUCGCCCUGGGAUGGGCCCGCGUUGGAUUAGCUGGUUGGGAGGGUAAAAGCCUACCAAGGCGACGAUCCAUAGAUGGUUAGAGAGGAAGAGCAGCGACACUGGGACUGAGAAGCGGCCCAGAAUCCUACGGGAGGCAGGAGAGGGGAAUAUUGGACAGUGGGGGGAAGGCUGAACCAGCAAUGCCGCGAGAGUGAUGAAGGCCGUAGGGAUGUAAAGCUCUUUUACCCGGGAUGAUAAUGACAGUACCGGGAGAAUAAGCACCGGCUAACUACGUG
rnacentral:rRNA from 1 species